UACGGAGGGUGCAAGCGUUGUUCGGAUUUAUUGGGCGUAAAGAGCUCGUAGGCGGCUCGUCGCGUCGACCGUGAAAACCAGCAGCUUAACUGCUGGCUUGCGGUUGAUACGGGCGGGCUAGAGUUCGGUAGGGGAGACUGGAAUUCCUGGUGUAGCGGUGAAAUGCGCAGAUAUCAGGAGGAACACCGGUGGCGAAGGCGGGUCUCUGGGCCGAUACUGACGCUGAGGAGCGAAAGCGUGGGGAGCGAACAGG
rnacentral:rRNA from 1 species